GACGUUCAACCGCAAAAGAAGCAGAGGGGGCUUAGUGGUGGGGUGACUGCGUACCUUUUGUAUAAUGGGUCAGCGACUUAUAUUCUGUAGCAAGGUUAACCGUAUAGGGGAGCCGGAGGGAAACCGAGUCUUAAUUGGGCGUUAAGUUGCAGGGUAUAGACCCGAAACCCGGUGAUCUAGCCAUGGGCAGGUUGAAGGUUGGGUAACACUAACUGGAGGACCGAACCGACUAAUGUUGAAAAAUUAGCGGAUGACCUGUGGCUGGGGGUGAAAGGCCAAUCAAACCGGGAGAUAGCUGGUUCUCCCCGAAAGCUAUUUAGGUAGCGCCUCGUGAAUUCAUCUCCGGGGGUAGAGCACUGUUUCGGCUAGGGGGCCAUCCCGGCUUACCAACCCGAUGCAAACUGCGAAUACCGGAGAAUGUUAUCACGGGAGACACACGGCGGGUGCUAACGUCCGUCGUGAAGAGGGAAACAACCCAGACCGCCAGCUAAGGUCCCAAAGUCAUGGUUAAGUGGGAAACGAUGUGGGAAGGCCCAGACAGCCAGGAUGUUGGCUUAGAAGCAGCCAUCAUUUAAAGAAAGCGUAAUAGCUCACUGGUCGAGUCGGCCUGCGCGGAAGAUGUAACGGGGCUAAACCAUG
rnacentral:rRNA from 1 species